rnacentral:rRNA from 1 species
CCCUUCGGGGUGCUGACGAGUGGCGGACGGGUGAGUAAUACUUAGGAAUCUGCCUAGUAGUGGGGGAUAACCCGGGGAAACUCGGGCUAAUACCGCAUACGCCCUACGGGGGAAAGCGGGGGACUUUCGGGCCUCGCGCUAUUAGAUGAGCCUAAGUCCGAUUAGCUAGUUGGUAGGGUAAUGGCCUACCAAGGCGACGAUCGGUAGCUGGUCUGAGAGGACGACCAGCCACACUGGGACUGAGACACGGCCCAGACUCCUACGGGAGGCAGCAGUGGGGAAUAUUGGACAAUGGGCGCAAGCCUGAUCCAGCGAUGCCGCGUGUGUGAAGAAGGCCUGCGGGUUGUAAAGCACUUUCAGUAGGGAAGAAAAGCCGAGUGCUAAUAUCACUCGGUCUUGACGUUACUUACAGAAGAAGCACCGGCUAACUCCGUGCCAGCAGCCGCGGUAAUACGGAGGGUGCGAGCGUUAAUCGGAAUUACUGGGCGUAAAGGGCGCGUAGGCGGUUUGGUAAGUCGGGUGUGAAAGCCCCGGGCUCAACCUGGGAAUUGCAUUCGAUACUGCCUGGCUAGAGUAUGGUAGAGGGAAGCGGAAUUCCGGGUGUAGCGGUGAAAUGCGUAGAUAUCCGGAGGAACACCAGUGGCGAAGGCGGCUUCCUGGACCAAUACUGACGCUGAGGCGCGAAAGCGUGGGGAUCAAACAGGAUUAGA